rnacentral:SRP_RNA from 1 species
GCUGGGCCUGGUGGCGUGCGCCUGUAAUCCCAGCUACUUGGGAGGCUGAGACAGGAGAAUUGCUUGAACCCAGGAGUGGGAAGUUGCAGUGAGCCAAGAUCAUGCCACUGCACUCUAGCCUGGGUGACAGAGCAAGACUCUGUCUCAA